rnacentral:rRNA from 1 species
UACGUAGGGGGCUAGCGUUGUCCGGAUUUAUUGGGCGUAAAGAGCGUGUAGGCGGCCAGAUAGGUCCGUUGUGAAAACUGGAGGCUUAACCUCCAGCUGUCGAUGGAAACCAUCUGGCUAGAGUCCGGAAGAGGAGAGUGGAAUUCCUGGUGUAGCGGUGAAAUUCGUAGAUAUUCGCAAGAACACCAGUGGCGAAGGCGGCUUACUGGACCGGUUCUGACGCUGAGGUGCGAAAGCGUGGGGAGCAAACAGG